CCUACGGGGGGCAGCAGUGGGGAAUAUUGCACCAUGGGGGAAACCCUGAUGCAGCGAUGCCGCGUGGAGGAAGAAGGUUUUCGGAUUGUAAACUCCUUUUAUCAGGGACGAUAAUGACGGUACCUGAAGAAAAAGCUCCGGAUAACUCCGUGCCAGCAGCCGCGGUAAUACGUAGGAAGCGAGCGUUGUCCGGAAUUACUGGGUGUAAAGGGAGCGUAGGCGGGUCGGCAAGUCAGAUGUGGAAGCUGUGGGCUCAACUUUCAGACUGCAUUUGAAACUGCUGUUCUUGAGUGAAGUAGAGGUAGGCGGAAUUCCUAGUGUAGCGGUGAAAUGCGUAGAUAUUAGGAGGAACACCGGUGGCGAAGGCAGCUUACUAGGCUUUCACUGACGCUGAGGCUCGAAAGCGUGGGGAGCAAACAGGAUUAGAUACCCCAGUAGUC
rnacentral:rRNA from 1 species